GGAAGGGUCCGUCGCUCUCCAUCCUCCCAGGCCCACCCUAGCUCCCCCGGGAAGCCGCCCUUGCCUCGGACACCUCCUCCUCGUCGUCGUCGUCGUCCUCCUCCUCCUCGCUGUUGUUGCUGCUCGUGCCGCCGCCGCCACCGCCGCUGUGAUCGCUGUCGCUGCUGCUCUCGCUGCUGCUGGGGGGGCGGCAGGUCCGGUGGCGCUUGGCCUUGUGGUGCGGCUGCUGCGGAGGCUUCUUCUUCAGCAGCAGGUCGCAGACGCGCACCAUCGUGCGCGGGGAUGAGGCCGCGCGAGCCCCACCGACCUCCGCCGCGCCCGCGGGGGGGCCCGCGCUGGCCGCCGCCGGGGGACUCCCUUCCGCCGCGGGCGCGGGCGCCGGGGCCUGCUCCAUCGCGGCGGGUGGAGGCGUGCAGCGCUCUAACGCGACUCCGGCGUUCGGGCCGACUUGGCGUUCCGGGCCGCCGGCGCCGCCGCCGCCUCGGUCACCUCUACAGCGGCCGCCGCUCGGGCAGCUCUCACCGCGUCUCGCGAUACUGAGGGCGGGGAGCCGGGCGCGGGAGGGCGGGCGCCGGGCGCCGAGGACACCGCGGGAAGCGCGCCCGGGGGCUGCGACGCGAGGGUAGCAGAGCGCGGACUCGCGGCCACUGCUGGGGCGCCGCGAGCGCCCGAUGGCUUUUCUGUCUCCGCUGCUGCCCCUUUCGGCCCCGCAGUCCGCCCUGCUUCCUUCCUGGCUUGUGACUGGAACGCAACCGCAGGCGGAAGCGCGGUGACGCCAUCAGUCGGCGCCGGAGCAGCGAGGCGCGGGGCUGGGGCCUGCGGGUGGUGCGGAGACCGCGGGCGGAGACCAGGCCUGCGAGUAGGGAGAAGCUCGGCCGUGCAGGGCGCCACGCAGUGAUUCCCUCCCGCUCUCCCCCGCGCACCAAGAGCCGGGGCUUUGGGUCUCCAGAGGUCCCCUCGUGUAAAGAAAAAGAGCCUCCUGCCGCAGGUUGAAUGAAUCUUGGAUCGUAGGCUUGCUGAGCGUGACUUUUACACGUGUGCGAUAUGAAGGAAGUAGGUGACCUAGGUGAUGUCUGAGAUCACUUCAGCUCCAGAGAGGAAACGAGGCCUCUGUGCCACACUUUGCAGAGGGUUGGCCCAGAUGGAGCUGUCCCACUCUUAGAGCACAGCUGUGUCUGAGUGUUUGCUGACUUCAGUGUGGAACAGAAGACUACAUUAUGUAUCUUAACCACUACAGAUUUACGUUCUAUAAUUUCAGCUUGAACCCUCCUUCCCGUGUUGUGUGUCUGUAUCAGUCAGUAUUUACUAGAGAAACAGAUAAAACACAAGAUAUACAAAUAUAUAUGAAUUUACAAGAUUGCCUUACAGUAGCCACCCACAGAGUCAGGUGAGGGAGAGUGGAGAGGGUCUGUCGGCACACUAGACCCUGAAGCAUUUAGUGAAAGGUCUGGAGCUCACUGCAGUGUCCCGAGAGAGUCCUUUAUGAUGGGUCUAUGAUGGAAGGCGGAAGGAUCUGCCCCAGAAACCAAAGAGUCUGCUAGCUAGGUACCGGAAGCCAGAAGAUGUCCAAGGCGAAGACAGGAGCUCCUCCAAAGGAACAGAAGCAGCAGCGUCCUUCCUCAUUUCCCCUUUAUACCAUCCAGGCCAGCAGCCGCAGCUAUAGGACUUGGAAUUGCCGAGCCAAUUUAGCUAAUGUCACCAAACUUCUCAAGUUGACACAACCAUUACAGUGUCCUGUAGCAUCUUUGCUCCCUUUGCACUUGAACACUUUUUUGCAGACUAAAUUCCACCCCCAUUUCAUUAUGACUUGAUUUAAAACUUCUCAGGAAAACAGACCAUUAAGCAAAAAUUCCUUCUAUUUUCCAAAUGCUAGAAAUUUCCUGACCUUUUUGACAGUAUCAGGGGAAUGAGUAACUCCAUAUUCUGUGCAAGAAUAUUCAUAUUCUAUAUCCAUAUCCUAGUUCCAGCUGCCCCUUUCUCUUUCAUUUAUAUGUUUAGUUUUUAGUCUUCCACAAAUUCUGGUUCCUUAGCUUCUCCUUCUGUAACUUUCACUGUAUUUCCUUCACAGUCAAGCUUUCUUUAAAAAGUCCACAUUCUUCAUUAUCUUUUUUUGUUUAUCUGACAUUGAUUCAUCAACUCUCUGCAAUCUGGCUUUGUAUCUAUCCCAUUAUAAGAAUGCUCCCUUAAAAUUUCUAUUAUUUAGAAGAAAGUAAGUUUCAUUCUUUUGUAUAAUACUGAAAUGAUGAUCCUGUUGAGACUAGUAGAAUAAGCUCAAAACUAUUAGAAUGGUGUAGGUCCCAAUUCUAACUAUUAGAAUUUGAUGAGUGACUUCUUUUUUAUCUAUCCCCCCCCUUUUAGAACUCUAUAGCAGAAACUAGCCAAUAAUGAAAUCUAUUUCUUUACCCUGAGCACAUGGCCAAACUUUCCAUGUAACUGAGUUCUAGCCAAUAAAAUGUGACUAGAAGUGAUGUGUUAUUUUCAGGCUUAUGAAGUCCUAUAUCUUCAAAACCAUAUAAGAGAGAGAUGCCAGAGUCAGGAAAGAAAGGGAGCAUGAGUGGCUGAAAUGCUACUUGGAAGAGAGCUACCCCAAUUGGAAACACCUCUCUCUGGACACUUAGUGAGAAAAUUAAGAUUUGAGAAUUUGUAUGUUAGAGGAGGUAGAAUAACCAUAACUAGUACAGAAAUUGAUGCCAGAAGUUGGGUACUACUAAGAUAAUAACAAAACGUGUUAUGUCAACUUAGUGAUGAUUCGGUGGGUGGUAGAAGAUCUAAUUUGGAGGCUGGAAAAUGAAUACCCAUUUUUGUAGUGGAAAGUAAUUGGGGAAAUGGUCAUCUAGAAUAUUUGAAAAGUAGAUCACCUAUUAUUAUUAUUAUUUUUUUUUUUGGUACCGGAGAUCGAACUCGGGUCCUUGUGCUUGCGCAGCAGGCGGCAAAACCACUGAGCUAAAUCCCCAGGCCAAGAUCACCUAUUAUUGAGACUAGAUCCAUUGGAAAUGGUUGAAAAAAUUAAAAGUAAUAGUGUGUUUUGGAUUUUGCAUUUUCUUUUAGCACUUACUAAAGAGUCAGUAAAUCAUUGGCAGAACGUGUGUAGGAAUGUUUUUUUGAAAGGGUUAAAACUGAUUUUCAGGGCCAGGAAUUCAGCUCAGUGGUGCCACCACCUGCCUCAAAAGGACACAAAGUCCUGAGUUUGAUCCCCAGUACCAAAAAACAAACAGACUGACUUUCUCUAGACCUAAAACAGUAAAAAAUGAAACUGGAAGAGCCCUUGAGGAUAAUUUCCUAAGAUGUACAACUGCCACAAAGAUUAGAUCAAGGAUUUGGUUGUCCUUAGGUCCAAAGGCGUAAUUUCAGAUGCCUCAAGAUAGCUUUGUAAAGUUCUAGAGAAACUGGCAUGGGGCAAGGAAACAAAAGUCAAUCAAGUUAAGAAUUAUGUAAGGAAGAACUUUGGGUAAAGUUGCUAGAAGACAAUAGAACAGAAGCCCUAAGUUUGUGAGACAAUUUUAUUACUAAUUAAACCAUGAAACUGGCUCAAACACUUCAACUGUUAAAACUGUGAGGGAACUGUUCAACCCAAAAUCUGUGAAGCUGGUACCAGAAGCCAUGUAAAAUAAUGAACAAGAGAGUUCUUCCCAGAGUCUAGAAUUGGG
rnacentral:lncRNA from 1 species